rnacentral:sRNA from 1 species
UGAAGGAUGGGAGUCUAAGGUUUUACA